rnacentral:rRNA from 1 species
AGCGAACGCUGGCGGCAGGCUUAACACAUGCAAGUCGAGCGGAUGUAGCAAUACAUCAGCGGCAGACGGGUGAGUAACACGUGGGAACGUACCUUUUGGUUCGGAACAACACAGGGAAACUUGUGCUAAUACCGGAUAAGCCCUUACGGGGAAAGAUUUAUCGCCGAAAGAUCGGCCCGCGUCUGAUUAGCUAGUUGGUGAGGUAAUGGCUCACCAAGGCGACGAUCAGUAGCUGGUCUGAGAGGAUGAUCAGCCACAUUGGGACUGAGACACGGCCCAAACUCCUACGGGAGGCAGCAGUGGGGAAUAUUGGACAAUGGGCGCAAGCCUGAUCCAGCCAUGCCGCGUGAGAGAUGAAGGCCCUAGGGUUGUAAAGCUCUUUUGUGCGGGAAGAUAAUGUCGGU